rnacentral:rRNA from 1 species
AUCUAUGUGUGUACCACUCUGAACACACGGAUCUGGUCUGAGCUCAGCAGCUAAGCAGAGUGGGACCUGAUUAGUGUUUGGAUGGAAGAAAGCUGAAAGGUUCCACCAUUCAUGGGUU